UACGUAGGGUGCAAGCGUUAAUCGGAAUUACUGGGCGUAAAGCGUGCGCAGGCGGUUUUGUAAGUCUGUCGUGAAAUCCCCGGGCUUAACCUGGGAAUGGCGAUGGAGACUGCAAGGCUAGAGUUUGGCAGAGGGGGGUAGAAUUCCACGUGUAGCAGUGAAAUGCGUAGAGAUGCGGAGGAACACCGAUGGCGAAGGCAGCCCCCUGGGCUGACACUGACGCUCAGGCACGAAAGCGUGGGGAGCAAACAGG
rnacentral:rRNA from 1 species